rnacentral:lncRNA from 1 species
UAAAGGUAUAACAUCUCAUGACAUUUAGUCUCAAACUUCAACUUUCAUGACAUAAAUAAAAGGAGUUAUAUCAAUUAACUCAAAUAUAUCAGUCGGAAUCUCCAUGAAACAAAAAUGUCAUUUAACUUCAACAUAAACAAUAUAGUAAGUAAAACAAGAGUUCUCAACCCGAUGGUACAUAAUCAAAGAAAGACACCACU